CGACCUCAGAUCAGACGUGGCGACCCGCUGAAUUUAAGCAUAUUAGUCAGCGGAGGAAAAGAAACUAACGAGGAUUCCCUCAGUAACGGCGAGUGAAGAGGGAGGAGC
rnacentral:ncRNA from 1 species